ACAAAAAGGGAGGGAUCGCACUGGGAGAGAGCACAGUAGGUUUAUUAAAGUUAUGGUUUCUAUUUUGCUCCUUUAUUCUAGUUUACUGUGCUCUCUCCCAGUGCGAUCCCUUCCUUUUUGUGG
rnacentral:miRNA from 1 species